AUUGAACGCUGGCGGCAGGCCUAACACAUGCAAGUCGAACGGUAACAGGGAUCAGCUUUCUGAUUCGCUGACGAGUGGCGGACGGGUGAUAAAUGUCUGGGAAACUGCCUAAUGGAGGGGGAUAACUACUGGAAACGGUAGCUAAUACCGCAUAACGUCGCAAGACCAAAGAUGGGGACCUUCGGGCCUCUUUCCAUCCAAUGUGCCCCGAUGGGAUUAGCUAGUAUGUGGGGUAACGGCUCACCUAGGCGACGAUCCCUAGCUGGUCUGAGAGGAUGACAAGACACACUGGAACUGAGACACGGUCCAGAAUCCUACGGGAGGCAGCAGUGGGGAAUAUUGCACAAUGGGCGCAAGCCUGAUGCAGCCAUGCCGCGUGUCUGAAGAAGGCCUUCGGGUUGUAAAGUACUUUCAGCGGGGAGGAAGGAAGUAAAGUUAAUACCUUCGCUCAUUGACGUUACCCGCAGAAGAAGCCCCGGCUAACUCCGUG
rnacentral:rRNA from 1 species